rnacentral:rRNA from 1 species
AAUUGUUCGCAAUGGGCGCAAGCCUGACGACGCAACGCCGCGUGGGGGAUGAAGGUCUUCGGAUUGUAAACCCCUGUUGGGUGGGACGAACACUUUUGUGGUGAAUAUCCACGAAGGCUGACGGUACCACCUGAGGAAGCCCCGGCUAACUCUGUGCCAGCAGCCGCGGUAAUACAGCGGGUGUAAGCGUUGUUCGGAAUUACUGGGCGUAAAGCGCGUGUAGGCUGCGAUGUAAGUCGGACGUGAAAGCCCUUGGCUUAACCAAGGAAGUGCAUCCGAUACUGUGUCGCUUGAGUACCGGAGGGGAUGGCGGAAUUCCCGGUGUAGAGGAGAAAUUCGUAGAUAUCGGGAGGAACACCUGUGGCGAAGGCGGCCAUCUGGACGGUAACUGACGCUGAGACGCGAAAGCGUGGGUAGCAAA